CCCUACGGGGCGCGGUCUCCCAAGGAUCUGUGCUACCUGUAUGAAUUUGAAGAGUGGAGGGCCGGGAACAUCAACCUUGUGCUCACCGUCGAUGCGGAAUUCCCGGGCUGGAAUGAGCGGGUCGGGUUUGUUCCGACGGUAUUGAAAGAAGAAGCCCCCAGUCCCAAGAACCGCCUGGCGCUGGUGUGCGGUCCCCCCAUCAUGAUCAAGUUCGUUCUGUUUGGCCUGAAAGAAUUGGGAUUCGAAGACCAGCAGAUCUUGUCCACCCUGGAAAAGCGGAUGAAAUGCGGCAUCGGUAGCUGCGGUCGGUGCAAUAUGGGCAGCAAGUAUGUCUGCCUGGAUGGGCCGGUUUUCAGCUAUUCGGAGCUUCGGGAGAUGGUUCCCGAGAUGUAGUGAGAGCAGGGUCGACAAUGCCUUCGGCAGCGUCCGUCUGGCGGGGGGGC
rnacentral:rRNA from 1 species